AGACACGCCAGCGUGCCGGGUGGAAGUUUCCGCGCCGGCUGGUGUGCUGCGGUCGCGGACCGCCUGGGAAAACGAAACCGCUGCGACUGCACCGGGUCGAGCCCCCGCCCUCCCGCCUUCUCCUCGCGUGCUCUGUACGGUGGAGUGACUGGGCAGAGCCGGCCACGCGUGGCCCGUCGCUCGCAACGCGCUCCACCAAACGCGCCUGCUCUGGCAUGCGCCGCGUGCGGGCGCCACGGCCCGUGAAGCCGGAAGCAGCUCUGGUGUCCUGUGCGUUUGGUGUGCGGGUCCAGCCCAGCGGGUGCCCGCUCUGCCUCUGCCGUCCUUGGGCCUCUGCAUCCGGGCUCCGCUAAUUUUGAGCAUAAGAGAACUGCUUCCCUCGUGGUCUGUACCACCGUGGAGCAAACCUUACCAAGUACUUGGCCCUUCUCACACUGUACCAAGGUGGAAGUAAGGGCCAGGUAGCGUGCUUACUGCCUUCAGUCAGUAGCGUUAAUGCGAAUGAAUGUUUUAUCUCUGGCGUUUUCUGACCACCGGUGUAUGUGGAGAUCACAGCCAAUGAGCAGAGCCUAUGCUUUGUGUGUGGUCACGAGUGCCUGUAAUUCCAGCGUUUGGGAGGCCAAGGCAGGACGAUUGCAAACAGUACACGCAAGCCCUGAAGCCCUGUCCCAGAGUGUGUUGUGUUAAAUACUACGGGAAAGAAAAACAGUUCUUGUUUGAACUCAAUUUUUAAUGGAUCUGGGCAAAAGCGCAAAAGUCUUUGCCCUCCUCCGUCCCUCGUUCCUCUUGGCUCUGCUACUGUCCAAAGACAAAUUCUUGCCUCUCUUCUCAUUGGUCACCUCCGUCUUUGGUCUGUUUUUAAAUUGUCUCCCAGGUGUUUUCCCCAUAUUCCUUCCUUUGCCCCCUUUAAUUUUUAACCCACUCAGCCGGUGAUCCCAGCGUCUGAUAUGUCCACGCAUAUAUGCAUACAUAUUUAAGUUGUUACUUUUAAGAAAUCAGAUCGUCUAUCGCC
rnacentral:lncRNA from 1 species